GGCUGCGGCAUGCACCGCAACACCACUGGCGCCUGCCUGGCUCUCUCUCUCUCUCUCUCAUUCUCUGUGCUGCAGGCAGGAUCAGGGAGGCAGGAGCAGCCGUCCCUCUAGUCCCUGUCUCAGCCCAGCCGCUGGGGUCUGCAUGGGGCUGGGAAAGCCACCCCCUCGUCAGUCCUCUCUGCGAACCCAUCCUCAUCCCAGGUUCCCCUCCCCCUGCCUCUGGCCCUGUCGUCUGGGAGCCCCUGAAGGUGUGACACCUCACACAGGAAUCGGAGAGCAGGAGCCCGGGGGCCAGUCAGAGCUGGGUAGCCGUGCCGACCCCAUUGGAGAUGUAUGUUUGAAGAUAAUUGUAGGAAAUCCUCCACCCAACCCAGAGAAACCCUCUCCUGGUCAUCAGCAACCCUGGAGUACCCUACUACCUGACAGUGUUUUUCAGAAGUGCGGAGAGAGAGAGGAGCGUCAGAAACAUGAAACCUAAGAUAGCAGAGUGGAAGAAGAGAACAAGUCGUUAGCACUUUGAAACCAGACACCGGGAGGUAUCAGAUCCAUUGGGUGGCUAAGGAUCAUGGGUAUAGUGUGUGUGUGUGUGUGUGUGUGUGUGCGUGUGUGUGUGUGUGUGUGUCAGCGUGUGUGCCUUCAUGCAUGCCGUGUGUGUGUGAAUGAGUGUGUGUGUGAAUGCGUGUGUGUGUGUGUGUGUAUGGGGAGGUGGAUGCUGACAGGGUCUCUCUCUCUUUCUCUCUCUCUCUGGUUGACUGGGUCACUCGGGGGCCCCGGACCCCACACAAUGCCCUGGCAGCAGUGUGGGCUUUACUGGGCCUCUACAGAGCAGCGCCGAGCUGCUAGCUUUACGAGAGACAGACGGAUGGAUCCCUUCACCUCGCGCCAUAAAGCCACCAGUCGGGGAUAAAAGAGGACAGAUGCGAGGGGAAGCAUUGAGAGCUCACCUGCACCCAGCAGGGAACAGCCUCUAUCCAGCCAACCCAAGAGGGCCUCUACAUUCAGCCUCCUCUCACUAACACCACUAAUAGGGAACAGGGGCACUGUCAAAUAAGUGGAGAAUCCUUCCUUGUUUUGGAUGGCCUGGGAUCCUUAUUAGCGGUUAGUGCUAGAACACAGCUAUACUGGUGAAGAGUUCAGUGCAGUUAACACGGAUGUUGACAGUGCAGGGCAGAGCAGGCUGCAACAGGUUGCUGCUAAAAGCUGUAAUUACAGUAUGAUCUGCAGACUCUAGUUACUGGGAGAGUGAGAGUGGUGGGAUCCUUGUGAAAAGUGCCAAUUCUGAAUGUAUUUUUAAGAGGCACUUGUUGGAGGGAGAACAUGGUUAGGUAACAGGUUGAUCAGGAGUCUGACAGGGAAUGGGACAUACAGACAGACUAACUGACAGAGGGUCAGGAUUGGAGACAGGAGGCAGGCAAGGUGGCAGAUGGGCUAAGCGACAGACAGAGACAGGUAGGCAUGGAGUCAUGGAGCCAGGCAGUCAGGGAGGCAAGCUGUCAGCGAGGGCAGACCCACCCUGGGUAGCUUCUGCCUUCCCUGUUGGAGUGACAGAUGUGUGGUGAAUCUUUAGCUCUCCUCACAGCUCCUCACUCCCCAGUGUCACCGCAUCUGUCCCCUCCUCAGUUCCCCUUGGCUCAGCCCCCUCCUGUGUAAAUGCAGGACAACAAAAAUGAGUUCAGUGGACUUAUUGAUUAGUCCAGCCUGCACUGGCUAGCUUCAUUUAAUGACCUCUGGGACUCAUUAUUGACAAGGCUUUGUCUUUGUGAUUUGUUCAAAAUUUCACUGGGCACAUGGGAACCCUGUGUCUCACACAGUAGGACAAUUUAAACAGAACAUCUGUAGCCUAGCGGAUCAAUGCAAAAAUGUGCAUGUUGAUCUACAGUGCAGAACUAUGAGCAUAUUUGAAUAUGUUGACAUAGAUCAAGCAGAUAAACAAACAUUUGGACAAUGAUAAGUGGGUCAUGUUUGUGGGACAACAACAACAGAAAAGAAGAGGUCAGCAUAUGCUCUCAACCGAACACAACGUCCUGUCUCAUUGUCUGCCUUAAACCCCACUGUAAAAAACAUAUACUGCCUCGGCCAUAGUAGAUGGUAAGUAGCAUUUUAUCCUCACCAGUCUAAUCUUCUCAGACGCCUCAAUGUUAAAGGGUCUGGACUCGCCGUCCCCCCAUCCCCUGUCCCUCUCCCCCGCUCAGCCUGGCCCUGGCGAGAGAUGGUUUAUUUCAAUUGAAAAUUAGCAAAACAAAACAAGGGCAAGAGGAUCCCUGAAUGGGGCCCCUUUCUCUGGGAGCUCCUGUGCUGUUGAAUAAUGCAUAUGGGAGAAAGUAAACAGCAGCCUCGGGCUCCGUCCAAGGAACAAUGGGCCGCACACAGUCCAACCACGGCGCCUGAUUUUAUUACGGGCCCUGUCAGUCCCCUCCUCCAUCCAUCCCUCCCUCCAGUACCUCCUCUAGCCUGGGAAUCGUGGAACGCAGGCCAGGCAGCAGCUGCUGACCGCUCCGCACUGACCCAACACACUCCGCAACCUGCAGGAUAACUCCACACACACUCCCUCCCAACCAGCACACACCACCACUACAGUGCAUACAUAUACUCAGUCACACCAGGCAGCAACUGGUUGGCCACAUCCAGAUGGUGUCUUGUGAGGAAAUGUUUGAAUUUGCUGAAUGUUCGAAACAUAUGGAAUUUAUGUUUUUGUUCUUGUCAUGAAUGACUGACUGACUCAUUUAGCCUGAGGAAAAUAUCAGACUUUACCAACUCCAACCCCUAUUUCUGAGAUCUUGGCUUGGACAGUGCCGGGUCACUUUGGCCACUUGUGAACUUUUCUCUCCACUAGAACAUUCUGUCUGUGUGUGUUCUCUCUCUCUCUCCGAUCAGGCUGGCAUUGAGAUUCCGGUCUUGCUUCUGGCUUCAGCCUGGGGCGGUUGCCAUGCCGACAGGCAAAUUGGCUAGCAGGAUGAGUAGUGAUGUGAUGUGGCUGUGGCUUUAAAGUCCCAACAAAGACUGUAUUACAACCCAAUCUUUGCAUAACACACUAUUGUUGUCAUGUGCUACUGAUAUUAAUCCUCUUCCUGCUGCAGGAGACGUGUGUGUCUCUCUGUGGAAAGGUUUUGUGUGUAUGUACGUGAACGUGUGUGUAUGGCUGGACACCAGAAGUCACACUAAAGAUUAUCUACAGUCACAACGACUGAAGAUACAUACUGAAUAAAAUAAAGGAUUUUGCAAUGA